GAGGGCAUAGCUCAGUGCUAGAGCGUGUGCUUAGCAUGCAUGAAAUCCUGAGAUCAAUCCCUAGUACCUCCA
rnacentral:tRNA from 1 species